rnacentral:rRNA from 1 species
ACAUGCCUAUAACAUAGCAUUAAUGCAAUGGAUCCCAUUAAAACUUUGUAGUUAAGCGCGCUUAGGCUAGAGUAGUACUGGGAUGGGUGAUUGCCUAGGAAUUCCUAGUUUUUUACAUGCC